UACGGGGGGGGCAAGCGUUGUUCGGAAUUACUGGGCGUAAAGGGCUCGUAGGCGGCCAACUAAGUCAGACGUGAAAUCCCCAGGCUCAACCUGGGAACUGCGUCUGAUACUGGAUGGCUUGAGUUCGGGAGAGGGAUGCGGAAUUCCAGGUGUAGCGGUGAAAUGCGUAGAUAUCUGGAGGAACACCGGUGGCGAAGGCGGCAUCCUGGACCGAUACUGACGCUGAGGAGCGAAAGCCAGGGGAGCAAACGGG
rnacentral:rRNA from 1 species